UACGGGGGGGGGCAAGCGUUGUUCGGAAUUACUGGGCGUAAAGGGCUCGUAGGCGGCCAACUAAGUCAGACGUGAAAUCCCUCGGCUUAACCGGGGAACUGCGUCUGAUACUGGAUGGCUUGAGUUUGGGAGAGGGAUGCGGAAUUCCAGGUGUAGCGGUGAAAUGCGUAGAUAUCUGGAGGAACACCGGUGGCGAAGGCGGCAUCCUGGACCGGCAUUGACGCUGAGGCGCGAAAGCCAGGGGAGCAAACGGG
rnacentral:rRNA from 1 species